rnacentral:piRNA from 1 species
UAGCAACAACCUAGAUGUCCCUCAACUGA